rnacentral:lncRNA from 1 species
UUUUUGUAUUUUUAGUAGAGAUGGGGUUUUGCCAUGUUGGCCAGGCUGGCCUCAAACUCCUGACCUCAAGUAAGCCACCCAUCUCAGCCUCCUAAAGUGCUGGGAUUACAGGCAUUAGCCACCGUGCCCAGCCUCUUUAGGAUAUUUAUACUCAAUGAAUUAGACCCUCUUACUAUUACUAGCCAAUUUUCAGAGGAGGAGAAAUUGAGUCUCAGAGAAGUACAGUGACUUGUCCAAGGACAAGAAGGUGACCAGAAUUCACUAGGACUUGAACCCAGGUCUUCCUGACUCGAAGUUGUGUUUGACACAUGCAGUCAGGGAGCACUGCAUUGCAAGAAUGAGGCUCUGUCUUCCAGACCCAGGCGUACAGAUGGGCCAGGCUGGGGGCCCCCAAGCACCUGUUUAGCACAAGGUGAAGUUGCAAAUGGUUACCUGGGAUGGCGACCAAGUUCUGCAGCUCCUGCUUCAAGUCCAUGAUGUCCUUGCAGAGCUGGAUGUCAUCCAUCCUGGGGAAACAGGACACCAUCAACAGCAGGUUACAUCAGCAGAGCAUUACGCCCUGAGCAUCACCCGGUUAACACAAAGAAGCUAUUAAAGUUGUUUUUCAGGACUAUGGGGGCAGCUCCUGUCCAGUUCGAACCCGUUGAGAUCAAUGACCCUUCAACUGAACCUGUGCAAAUGCCGGAGAAGUGACCUUUUGACGUCAGAGGGCCCAAAACUCCCCGAGAUCAUGCUAAUGCUGCCAUUUUCUAAACAUGCACCCUAUGAAGAUCCAGGAAGCUUGGCUAUGUAUGUGCAGAUUGCCAAUGACCUCACUUUUCCUUGCCUCCAAUCACCUCUUCCCACACUUUAGACCACCCUGCUCCUUUAUUCCAUAAAGAUCCCUAAAUUCCAUCUUCAGGGAGGCAAGUAUGAGACCUUUUCUCCUGCCUCCUUGCUUGGCUGCGUUGGUGUGAAUAAAUUCUUUUCUUUUGCCAAAUCCAUCAUAACAGCGAUUGGCUUACUACCCAUGGGCAGAAGGGGACAGGUUCGCUAUCUAGGGCAGAGGGGAGGAAAGGAAACAGCCAGACCCUUGAUAGCAUCCUGGGGCCACCCCACUGACCCUCGGGCCACCUGCAUCUGGACUGCUUAUCAAGUCAAAAAAAAUUUUUUUUUUUGAGACGGAGUCUAGCUCUGUUGCCCAGGCUGGAGUGCAGUGGCAUGAUCUCGGCUCACUGCAACCUCCGCCUCACAGGUUGAAGCCAUUCUCUGCCUCAGCUUCCCGAGUAGCUGGGAUUACAGGCAUCCACCACCAAGCCUGGCUAAUUUUUGUAUUUUUAGGAGAGAUGGAGUUUCACCAUCUUGGCCAGGCUGGUCUUGAACUCCUUACCUCGUGAUCCACCUGCCUCAGCCUCCGAA